rnacentral:rRNA from 1 species
AUUGAACGCUGGCGGCAGGCCUAACACAUGCAAGUCGAACGAGUGGCGGACGGGUGAGUAAUGUCUGGGAAACUGCCCUAUGGAGGGGGAUAACUACUGGAAACUGUAGCUAAUACCGCAUACCAUCGGAUGUGCCCAGAUGGGAUUAGGUAGUUGGUGGGGUAACGGCUCACCAAGCCGACGAUCCCUAGCUGGUCUGAGAGGAUGACCAGACACACUGGAACUGAGACACGGUCCAGACUCCUACGGGAGGCAGCAGUGGGGAAUAUUGCAAAAUGGGGGCAAGCCUGAGGCAGCCAUGCCGCGUGAAUGAAGAAGGCCUUCGGGUUGUAAAGUACUUUCGGCGGGGAGGCGUUACCCGCAGAAGAAGCACCGGCUAACUCCGUGCCAGCCGCCGCGGUAAUAC